rfam:Heligmosomoides polygyrus genome assembly, scaffold: HPBE_scaffold0001468
GCGCCGGUGGUGUAAGGCGAACAUCGCUGCCCGAAAGCAGAAGAUGCGGGUUCGAGUCCCGCCUGGCGCG